UACGGAGGGUGCAAGCGUUGUUCGGAAUUAUUGGGCGUAAAGCGCGUGUAGGCGGUUUGUUAAGUCUGAUGUGAAAGCCCCGGGCUCAACCUGGGAAGGGCAUUGGAAACUGGCAGACUUGAGUACGGGAGAGGAGAGUGGAAUUCCCAGUGUAGGAGUGAAAUCCGUAGAUAUUGGGAGGAACACCGGUGGCGAAGGCGGUUCUCUGGGCCUGUUCUGACGCUGAGGAGCGAAAGCGUGGGGAGCAAACAGG
rnacentral:rRNA from 1 species